CGUCUGCUGUGAAAUCCCCAGGCUCAACUUCGGAUCUGCAUUGGGUACGGGCAAACUAGAGUGCGGUAGGGGAGAUUGGAAUUCCUGGGGUAGCGGUGAAAUGCGUAGAUAUGUGGAGGAACACCGAUGGCGAAGGCGACAUCUCUGGGCCGUAACUGACGCUGAGGAGCGAAAGCGGUGGGGAGCGAACAGGAUUAGAUACCCUGGUAGUCCACCCCGUAAACGAUGAGAGCUAGUUGUGGGGUCCUUUCCACCCCAUUCCGGGACGCACCUAACGCAUUAACUUCCCCGCCGGGGAAUCACGGCCGCAAAGCUAAAAUUCAAAGGAAUUGACGGGGACCCGCCCAAGCGUCGGACCAUGCGGAUUACUUCGAUGCAACGCAAAAAACCUUACCAGGGCUUGACAUAUCCGAGAACGCUGCAGAUAUGUAGAACUCUUUGGACACUCAUAAACAGGUGGUGCAUG
rnacentral:rRNA from 1 species